CGUCUAUAUACGUAUAGCAUAUCAAUAAGCGGAGGAAAAGAAACUAACAAGGAUUCCCUUAGUAACGGCGAGUGAAGCGGGAAGAGCUCAAAUUUGAAAUCUUCAAGGUUCUACCUUGACGAAUUGUAGUUUAUAGAAGUGUUUUCUGUUAGUGGAGUGGCAAAAGUUCUUUGGAAUAGGACAUCAUAGAGGGUGAGAAUCCCGUAUUUGGUCAUUCCUCCUAGCGUUGUGAUACACUUUCAAAGAGUCGGAUUGUUUGGGAAUGCAGUCCAAAAUGGGUGGUAAAUUUCAUCUAAAGCUAAAUAUUGGCGAGAGACCGAUAGCGAACAAGUACCGUGAGGGAAAGAUGAAGAGAACUUUGAAAAGAGAGUUAAACAGUACGUGAAAUUGUCAAAAGGGAAGCGUUUGACACCAGUGUUGUUUUUCCGAAAAUCAAUUACGAAUGUUUUAUUUUUGAGGAGUUAUGACUUCAUCGGCUUGCUUCCUUCUUUAUGAAACUUUCUUAAUGCACUUUUCGGUUAACAAGUCAACAUCAAUUUCUUUUGUUGUAAAAGGGUAUGAGGAAGGUGGCUUUCUUUUCGGAGAAAGUGUUUAUAGCCUUGUACCUCUGCAAUCGGAGAGAUUGAGGUCUGCAGCGUAGAUCCUUCGGGGUUAGAUACAUUUGUGCUAAGUUAUAGCUUUUCAUAGACAACUUGUUGACUAUGUUAAGUCUUGUAGCUUACUCGCUUAUGCUAUUUUACCUACGCUUAGGAUGUUGAUAUGCAUGACUGAUAU
rnacentral:rRNA from 1 species